UUUGGUUGAAAUGAGUUGAAAGGUAAUGAAAUUACAGUAUGAUGACUUAUUUUAAUUCGUCUCCAUUUACUCGCCUUUAGAUAGUUUAGAUGGUGUCUAUUUACUCACUGGGAUUUUAUAAUCUCACCACCCUCGUUUCCUCACAUUUCAGGCUUGGGGAAUUCCAUAGUUAGUUGACUUUGACAAGGAUCUUCAUUUGGAUUUGAAUCGGCAAAAGCUGUAGGUUUUCAGCUUUCGAUGCAUUUUGGUUAGAUGUGGG
rnacentral:lncRNA from 1 species